UACGUAGGGUGCGAGCGUUACUCGGAAUUACUGGGCGUAAAGCGCGUGUAGGCGGUUUCUUAAGUCUGAUGUGAAAGCCCUGGGCUCAACCCAGGAAGUGCAUUGGAUACUGGGAGACUUGAAUACGGGAGAGGGUAGUGGAAUUCCUAGUGUAGGAGUGAAAUCCGUAGAUAUUAGGAGGAACACCGGUGGCGAAGGCGGCUACCUGGACCGAUAUUGACGCUGAGACGCGAAAGCGUGGGGAGCAAACAGG
rnacentral:rRNA from 1 species